rnacentral:rRNA from 1 species
AACGAACGCUGGCGGCAGGCCUAACACAUGCAAGUCGAGCGCCCCGCAAGGGGAGCGGCAGACGGGUGAGUAACGCGUGGGAACCUUCCCAGUGGUACGGAAUAGCUCAGGGAAACUUGAGGUAAUACCGUAUACGCCCCUCGGGGGAAAGAUUUAUCGCCAUUGGAUGGGCCCGCGUCGGAUUAGCUAGUUGGUGGGGUAACGGCCUACCAAGGCGACGAUCCGUAGCUGGUCUGAGAGGAUGAUCAGCCACACUGGGACUGAGACACGGCCCAGACUCCUACGGGAGGCAGCAGUGGGGAAUAUUGGACAAUGGGCGCAAGCCUGAUCCAGCCAUGCCGCGUGAGUGACGAAGGCCUUCGGGUUGUAAAGCUCUUUUGGCGGGGACGAUAAUGACGGUACCCGCAGAAUAAGCUCCGGCUAACUUCGUGCCAGCCGCCGCUGUAAUAC